GUGAUAUUUGGUGCUUUCUAUGUGAGUCAGAGCUCAGGGAAUAAUUUGAAUAUUGCAGACAGCAAUUUGCUACAUAAAUUCACCCCAAUGGCUAUUAGCUCAUUUUAGAACAGUCAAGACUGCUAGAUUAGAGGGAGAUCUUUUGCAUUAAAUAUCAUGUUAAUCACAUCUACUUAACCUUUUAUUCACCCUUCCCCAAACCCUCCUUAAAAAAGUUCUGCAAGGCCUGACCCAUAUCCAAUAAGAUGCAAGGAAAGAGUCUUAAAUGUGUAUUUUUAACAUUAUAUCCUAAAUAAUAGGUUAGUUCUGUAGACUCUAUCUUGGUAUGUAUUUUCAGGAGUUUUAUGUUAUAGACAAAGAAGAAUUUCUUUUUAACUUUAUUUUUAUACUAAAUAAUUUCAAUAAGAGUCAAAUAUAAUAUUAUUUAUAUACCACACAUUGUUUCAGCAUUCCCAUUUUCCAGACUGGAGGAGCAAUUGCAAAACUAGACAGGAAAUCAAAACUAACACCAAGAAGGUCUGAAUUGCACUUCACCGUAAUAAAGAUUAACUCAAGUCAGCGUGGAGACCGGUGUUCUGAAUGACGCUGGCUGAUGAAUGACUGAUGUGCCACCCUGCCUCUGCUGAGGGCCCCAGCUGACCCUUGGUCACCACUGUCAUUAUUCUACACCCUGCUGCCAUUUCUCCAUUGACUUCUGGUUUUGGACGCACUGGCAGGAAAUCUGCAAGCCACUGAUAUCAGCCACUGCAAGCCACCAGGACUUGCAACCGCCACCCCUACAGGACUCCAACAUCCACGGCAGGAGCAAGAAUUCUGCCUGCCAGAGGCACUCUCGAGAGGUGACUGGCAGUGGGAAGAUAUUUGCUUUACCUGGUUUUCAGGCCGGUGUGUAUGUAUCAAUCUCUUCAGCAUCACGGUGCAAGCAUGCAUUCCUGCCAGUUCCCACCAAUGUAUACUUCUACUGUCACUUCACUGCCAAGGAAGAUGUGGCCCAGGCAGAGUGAGCUCUUUGCUCUGCUCUCUAGGCAAGUGCUUCUGGGGCUCCACAAGGGCAGCAGUGGCAGAGGGGCCUGGAGUGCACCCUGACUCUCCACAGUGACUACAGCAAAACACCUAGCUCUAUGGCUUUUUCAUUUCCUUAGUAAUGCCUAUUAAUUUUAUAAAAUAUUGGGUUUUCAAUGUGUG
rnacentral:lncRNA from 1 species